CCAGAAGUAGAUAGGUAUAAUGAAAAAAUCUAAAAAACAAAUCACAUAUUUAUUAUUUAAAUACUUAUUUAUUUAUUUAAAAUUCAAAAAACAAUUGUUUGGCUUAAUAAAUAUUUAAAAUUAAAGAAAUCAUUUUCUUUUUCUAUUACAUUAUUAACAUAGACGAUUUUCUUGUUGCUUGAUACCCGCUUUUAUUGAAUCUGGUCGUCAUAUCAAGAAUAUUACCAUACGUAGUAGAAAGAAACAAAAUAUAGUACAUUUAGAUAAUAGUAUUAUACAUUAGAUUUAAUAACAAAAUUUCAAAUUUAAUUUUAAAAACAUACGUUUAUAAAACCACCACUAGUUAAUCCAAUUUAUUAUAUUUUUAUAAAUUAUUAAAAUUAAUGAUAAUUUAAAAUUACGAUAUUCAUGUUAAAUCAACGUCUUUUCCGUAUAAGAAAUAAGGUGUUAGGGCCUGAAGAAUCACCUAAUAACACCAAUGCCUACAGAAGAGGACGGCGUUUCAACAUUAAUAUCGGGUGGUCAAUGGUGGAUCCUCUAAAGGUUAUAUCAGCUAUAUCAAACCUAGGACUGUUAAAAAUAUAACAAAGAAUUAUUUUUUUUUCAAUCCUUUCGACCCGAAAAAUUGUUUGCCAUCCACCACUGAGUGUGGCCAUUGAUAUUUAACGGAUUCAAUUAGUAUAUUGUGCAUAUGUAUAUUUUCGGUCAUCGAUUUGAAAUCAGAUAUAUAAUUUUUGACAUUUAUUUUUAACUGGUCUAGGUAGUUCCAGAAACUUUCCGAUACGUACAUCACAGUAAACACAUUUACAUCAACCGUUCUAAAAGGGGGGUAAUAAGGGACAUAAUCUAACAAAUUCUGAUUAAUAGCAAUGUUUUGUAUAACAAAAACACAUGAUUUUAACGGACGUGUCAUUAUAUUAUGUUCCUUUUUUAUUGUACUGUUAAUUGAUAUCCAAAAAUUGUAAUUAUUAAUCAAGGUUUUCAGCAAUUCGUUUAAAAGUUUGCGUUCGACUGGCGUGCCUGUUUUUAAAGUGAUAUUAAUUAAUUCUGUUAUCAGAAUAUCCAUACCACCGCAAUAUUUUGCGAAUAUAUUUUUGAUCGGUACAUUAAUAUGUCCAUCUUCUGGGUGUAAAUCAGACGUUCUUAUUUCAAUGCAUUGUUUUAUGAACGUCAUGGUUAACCUGGCAACGGACAUUACUACUAAAUU